GAUGAAGAACGCAGCGAAAUGCGAUACUUGGUGUGAAUUGCAGAAUCCCGUGAACCAUCGAGUCUUUGAACGCAAGUUGCGCCCGAAGCCAUCAGGUUGAGGGCACGUCUGCCUGGGCGUCACAUAUCGUUGCCCAAUGCCUAUUGCAGUGCAAUAGGAAUUUCUAGGGCGAAUGAUGGCUUCCCGUGAGCGUUGUUGCCUAGCGGUUGGUUGAAAAUCGAGUCCUUGGUAGGGUGUGCCAUGGUAGAUGGUGGUCGAGUUAGAACGAUACCGAUCAUGUGCAUGCUCCCCAAAAUAUGGCCUCUAUGACCCACACGCGUCUUUUGACGCUCAUGACGAGACCUCAGGUCAGGCGGGGCUACCCGCUGAAUUUAAGCAUAUCAAUAAGCGGAGGA
rnacentral:misc_RNA from 1 species